rnacentral:rRNA from 1 species
GACGAACGCUGGCGGCGCGCCUAACACAUGCAAGUCGAACGGAGCUGAGAGAAGCUUGCUUUUCUUAGCUUAGUGGCGAACGGGUGAGUAACGCGUGAGUAACCUGCCCUGGAGUGGGGGACAACAGUUGGAAACGACUGCUAAUACCGCAUAAGCCCACGAUCCGGCAUCGGAUUGAGGGAAAAGGAUUUAUUCGCUUCAGGAUGGACUCGCGUCCAAUUAGCUAGUUGGUGAGGUAACGGCCCACCAAGGCGACGAUUGGUAGCCGGACUGAGAGGUUGAACGGCCACAUUGGGACCGAGACACGGCCCAGACUCCUACGGGAGGCAGCAGUGGGGGAUAUUGCACAAUGGGGGAAACCCUGAUGCAGCGACGCCGCGUGGAGGAAGAAGGUUUUCGGAUUGUAAACUCCUGUCGUUAGGGACGAUAAUGACGGUACCUAACAAGAAAGCACCGGCUAACUACGUG